rnacentral:rRNA from 1 species
GACGAACGCUGGCGGCGUGCUUAACACAUGCAAGUCGAACGGAAAGGCCCUGCUUUUGUGGGGUGCUCGAGUGGCGAACGGGUGAGUAACACGUGAGUAACCUGCCCUUGACUUUGGGAUAACUUCAGGAAACUGGGGCUAAUACCGGAUAGGAUCUCCUGCUGCAUGGUGGGGGUUGGAAAGUUUCGGCGGUUGGGGAUGGACUCGCGGCUUAUCAGCUUGUUGGUGGGGUAGUGGCUUACCAAGGCUUUGACGGGUAGCCGGCCUGUGAGGGUGACCGGCAAAAUUGGGACUGAGAGACGGCCCAGAAGCCAACGGGAGGCAGCAGUGGGGAAUAUUGCACAAUGGGCGGAAGCCUGAUGCAGCAACGCCGCGUGCGGGAUGACGGCCUUCGGGUUGUAAACCGCUUUAGCCUGUGACGAAGCGUGAGUGACGGUAAUGGGUAAAGAAGCACCGGCUAACUACGUG